GUGAGGGAUAUUGCACAAUGGGCGAAAGCCUGAUGCAGCAACGCCGCGUGAGGGAUGACGGUUUUCGGAUUGUAAACCUCUGUCUUCGGUGAUGAUAAUGACAUUAGCCGAGGAGGAAGCCACGGCUAACUACGUGCCAGCAGCCGCGGUAAUACGUAGGUGGCAAGCGUUGUCCGGAUUUACUGGGUAUAAAGGGAGCGCAGGCGGGACAGCAAGUCAGCGGUGAAAUGUAUGGGCUUAACCCAUGAACUGCCGUUGAAACUGUUGUUCUUGAGUGAAGUAGAGGCAAGCGGAAUUCCGAGUGUAGCGGUGAAAUGCGUAGAUAUUCGGAGGAACACCAGUGGCGAAGGCGGCUUGCUGGGCUUUUACUGACGCUGAGGCUCGAAAGUGUGGGGAGCAAACAGG
rnacentral:rRNA from 1 species